rnacentral:rRNA from 1 species
UACGUAGGAGGCAAGCGUUGUCCGGAUUUACUGGGUGUAAAGGGUCCGCAGGCGGGUAUGUAAGUCGGUGGUGAAAUCCUACAGCUUAACUGUAGAACUGCCUCCGAGACUGCGUAUCUUGAAUGUAGGAGAGGGCAAUGGAAUUCCAGGUGUAGCGGUGAAAUGCUUAGAUAUCUGGAAGAACACCGGUUGCGAAGGCUGUUGCCUGGCCUAUCAUUGACGCUCAGGGACGAAAGCGUGGGGAUCAAAC